UUAAUAGCAUAUUCGUUUGACGUUUAGCUGCAGAAGAAGCACCGGCUAACUCCGUGCCAGCAGCCGCGGUAAUACGGAGGGUGCGAGCGUUAAUCGGAAUUACUGGGCGUAAAGCGCAUGCAGGUGGUUUGUUAAGUUCAGAUGUGAAAGACCCGGGGCGUCAACCUCGGAAUAGCAUUUGUAAACUAGGCAGACUAGAGUACUGUAGAGGGGGGUAGGAAUUUCAGGUGUAGCGGUGAAAUGCGUAGAGAUCUGAAGGAAUACCGGUGGCGAAGGCGGCCCCCUCGGACAGAUACUGACACUCAGAUGCGAAAGCGUGGGGAGCAAACAGGAUUAGAUACCCCUGGUAG
rnacentral:rRNA from 1 species